rnacentral:misc_RNA from 1 species
AAGUCGUAACAAGGUUUCCGUAGGUGAACCUGCGGAAGGAUCAUUACUGAGUGAGGGCCCUCUGGGUCCAACCUCCCACCCGUGUUUAUUGUACCUUGUUGCUUCGGUGCGCCCGCCUCACGGCCGCCGGGGGGCUUCUGCCCCCGGGUCCGCGCGCACCGAAGACACCAUUGAACUCUGUAUGAAGAUUGCAGUCUGAGCGAAAACUAAAUAAGUUAAAACUUUCAACAACGGAUCUCUUGGUUCCG